GUGGUCCCUUGGGAAGUGCCGCUCAGUUCACAAGCUGGGACACAUUCUCAUUCCUCACUGUCACUGUGGCCACACCCCACGUACCGUGUCAGGUGGGUGGUGUGGAUGGAACGGGGCGCUGAGGUCUGCUCUGUCUGAUCUGUGUGGCCUUGUGCACAGAGAAGGGCGAACCCUCCAGUGGUCGUGAUGUGAUGUGCAUCAGGUAUGUCAGGCUGUCACUCAGCGCCCAGGUAGCCACAUCCUCGAUCGCUUGGCCAUUUACUUCAUCAGGGCCUGAGGGAGUGUGCACAAGUAUUCCGGGACUCUGGUGACGCCUGCCUUUCAGACCUGGCCACUUCUGCUCUAUGUAUUUUGAUACAAUGUUAUUGGUUGAAUCAAAAUUUAUAGAGUUUUAUAUUUUCUUGUUAUUUUGUUGCUCUGGCUGGUGUGGGUUGCCAUGUGUUCCUCUGAUGGCCGUGGUUCGUGUGGCCACUCCAACCUCCUGCUUCCUGUUGGCAUGGCGUGUGACUUCAUUCUUUUACUUUCAGCCUCUCAGGCUGUAACUGCGUCUAUUUGCCAGUAUGUAGGAUGUAGCUGGAUCUCACUCUUACCCCAUCAGACAAUCUCUGCCUUUUAGUUACAUUGUUUCAUUCAUUACACUUAAUGCCCUUACUGACAUGAGUGGACUUGGUCUGUUAUUUUAGUUUGUUUUCUGUUUACCUCAUUUGUUUUUGUCUGUUUCUGCUUCCCGGUUAACUGUGUAUUGAUUGGAAACUAUUUAUACUUCCAUGUAAACUUUUUUUUUUACUUUCUGGCUAUUCCUUUUACGUUCCUUGAAUGGUUUGAUGGUUGCUCUCGAUUACAUAUACAUCCUUCCAGCUAGCGCUGGCCCGUGUCCCAGAAAAUGGUGUCGUCCUGUAGCCACACAGCUCCACUCGCUGCACCUGGUCCUGUGUGGGAUUGUCCUGUGUGUCAUCUCUACACACGGUGUCCCACUGUCCUCAGGCCUCUGCGUCCGGUCCCUCAGCUGUUCUCAUCUACGAGCUCGGCUGGCUGCCUUUGAUCACUUGCAAGAUUUCUCUGUAUCGUUGCUUUUCGGCAGCUCGGCUAUGAUACACCCAGUCUAGUUGUGGAGGACGUUGCUUCACUGGCCCAAGUUGGC